rnacentral:rRNA from 1 species
GACUACCGGGGUAUCUAAUCCUGUUUGAUCCCCACGCUUUCGUGCAUCAGCGUCAGUAUAUUCGUAGCAACCUGCCUUCGCAAUCGGUAUUCCUUCCGGUAUCUAUGCAUUUCACCGCUACACCGGAAAUUCUAGCUGCCUCCAAAUAACUCAAGCUCAACAGUAUCGAUGGCAUGUAAAACAGUUAAGCUGCUACCUUUUACCACCGACUUAUUAAGCCGCCUACGCACCCUUUAAACCCAAUAAAUCCGGAUAACGCUCGCCACCUACGUAUUACCGCGGCUGCUGGCACGUAGUUAGCCGUGGCUUAUUCUAAUGGUACCGUCAUUAUAGCUCGCAAGCCACACAUUCUUCCCAUUCAAAAGCAGUUUACAACCCAGAGGGCCGUCUUCCUGCACGCGGCAUGGCUGGGUCAGAGUUGCCUCCAUUGCCCAAUAUUCCCUACUGCAGCCCCCCGUAGG